GACGAACCGAGCGAACGUUGUUCGGAAUCACUGGGCUUAAAGGGCGCGUAGGCGGGCUGCCGCGUCCGGGGUGAAAUCCCACGGCUCAACCGUGGAACUGCCCCGGAUACGGGCGGCCUCGAGGGGGGGUAGGGGCAUCUGGAACUGUGAGUGGAGCGGUGAAAUGCGUUGAUAUUCACAGGAACUCCGGUGGCGAAGGCGAGGUGCUGGACCCCUCCGUCGACGCUGAUGCGCGAA
rnacentral:rRNA from 1 species